AGUUUUCGGUUUCACAACGGCUGAUUGGAGUUGGUUUAAUCAACUCGGAGUAGUUUCACCCAGAGUGCACCGCAACUAUAAAAAGACAGAAUCAAUGGAACCCCGAUUCGACGAGUCACCAUGGUGACGGGGGAGCGGAGAGCUACGUUUUUUUUACACCACUUGAACUGGACAUCUUAAUGCGUUCAUAUGGCGACUUCGAACAUGUUUUUAGAAAGAAGUGCAGCACCUGCAGCUGCAAAAGAGAGGGAGACGGCGUGGGAGAACAUUGCUGCCCGGGUCAAUGCGUAAGUUUAAAUCACAAUAAUAUUACAGGAAAACUGUUUAAUAGCAGCCUAUUCUGUUAUUUCAUUUAGGUGCAAUCCUGCAGGGGAGAAGCGCAUGUGGCAGCAGCUGAAGAUGAAAUAUAAGAACAUUGUUCAAACAGCCAACAGAAAGAAAGCAGAUGCCUGUAAAAAGGGAGGUGGCCCAGCAGCACCACCUGUAACGGAGGCAGAGGAGCUGGUCCUAAGCCAGAAUUUGGGAAGGCCAGUGGCUGAGGGAAUCCCUGGAGGGAGCUCAUCCUCUGAGACCACAUCCCAAGACACAACUGCGUGUGUGUGCGAGUGCGCGCAGCCACAGCGAUGGCAUGCGUGAAGGGGUGUGCUUUAAAGAUGGCAAGAGGAAAAGGUGCAACAGAAAAUUGGACCUUCCAAGCGUCCUUGUGGAGAUGCAGGCUGAGAAGGAGCGGAACCAGCACCCAGCAUGACGAGAACAUCUGGUUGCUCCUCAGCGAGGCAGGAGAGAAUGAAGCUGCCUUGCAGUGGAGGAGAUGGUCCAGAAUACUGCCUUCAACCAGUCAUUGCUGGGUGUACUGGGGCAGCUGGUGCAGGCAGUGGGCAGCCAGCGAGUCCACCUCCCAGAGACUUGAGAUUUAGUUGUAUAUAGUUUUACUUUUAGCCCUCCACUGUAGGAGAGGCCUACCACAGUUUGUACUUCGCACAUUGUAAAUAGUUUUGAUUUUGCUGCUGACUA